GAUGAACGCUGGCGGCGUGCCUAAUACAUGCAAGUCGAGCGAACGGACGAGAAGCUUGCUUUUCUGAUGUUAGCGGCGGACGGGUGAGUAACACGUGGAUAACCUACCUAUAAGACUGGGAUAACUUCGGGAAACCGGAGCUAAUACCGGAUAAUAUUUUGAACCGCAUGGUUCAAAAGUGAAAGACGGUCUUGCUGUCACUUAUAGAUGGAUCCGCGCUGCAUUAGCUAGUUGGUAAGGUAACGGCUUAACAAGGCAACGAUGCAUAGCCGACCUGAGAGGGUGAUCGGCCACACUGGAACUGAGACACGGUCCAGACUCCUACGGGAGGCAGCAGUAGGGAAUCUUCCGCAAUGGGCGAAAGCCUGACGGAGCAACGCCGCGUGAAUGAUGAAGGUCUUCGGAUCGUAAAACUCUGUUAUUAGGGAAGAACAUAUGUGUAAGUAACUGUGCACAUCUUGACGGUACCUAAUCAGAAAGCCACGGCUAACUACGUG
rnacentral:rRNA from 1 species